UGGUCGCCGGGGCCCCGCCCCUCCCUGGGACUGUCCUGAAGCUCAGUGGACUCUGCCCGGGCUGGACCGCGGGCGUCCGCGCUCUGGUGUAGGUCGGAACUCGGGUCAUGGCAGUUCCAAGGCCCGCUCCCAGAACUGGCGCCAGGCCCAAGUUAGAUCUGCAAUUUCUCCAGCGGUUCCUGAGGAUACAGAAGGUCUUGUUUCCUUCUUGGUCAUCACAGAAUGUCUUGAUGUUCCUGACUCUCUUGUGUGUGGCUCUGCUGGAACAAUUGGUGAUCUACCAGGUUGGCUUGGUCCCCAGUCAGUACUAUGGUGUCCUGGGAAAUAAAGACUUGGAUGGGUUUAAGGCGCUGACAUUCCUGGCUGUCGUGCUCAUCGUUCUCAACUCCACACUGAAGAGCUUUGACCAGUUCAUCUCCAGCCUGCUGUACGUGAGCUGGAGGAAGGACCUCACCGAGCACCUGCACCGCCUCUACUUCCGGGCCCGUGUGUACUACACCCUCAACGUGCUACGGGAUGACAUCGACAAUCCGGACCAGCGCAUCAGCCAGGAUGUGGAGCGGCUCUGCCGGCAGCUCAGCAGCAUGGCCAGCAAGCUGAUCAUCUCCCCUUUCACCCUCAUUUACUACACUUUCCAGUGCUUCCAGAGCACAGGCUGGCUUGGGCCUAUGAGCAUCUUUGGGUAUUUCAUCCUGGGAACCAUAGUGAACAAGACUUUGAUGGGGCCCAUCGUGGCAAAGCUGAUGCAGCAGGAAAAGCUGGAGGGAGAUUUUAGGUUCAAGCACAUGCAGAUUCGGGUGAAUGCUGAGCCUGCUGCUUUCUACAGAGCCGGGCAUGUGGAGCACAUGAGGACAGACCGCAGGCUUCAGAGACUCCUUCAGACCCAGAGGGAGCUGAUGUCCAAGGAGCUCUGGCUGUACAUUGGUGUCAACACCUUUGACUAUAUGGGCAGCGUCCUGAGUUACAUUGUCAUCUCAAUCCCCAUUUUCAGCGGGGUCUAUGGAGACUUGAGCCCCACCGAGCUUAGCACCCUGGUCAGCAAGAAUGCAUUCGUGUGCAUCUACCUCAUCAGCUGUUUCACCAAGCUCAUUGACCUCUCCACCACACUCUCGGACGUGGCUGGUUACACGCACAGGCUUGGGGAGCUGCAGGAGGCCCUGCUGGACAUUUUCCUGACAUCGCAGGACUGUGAGAGUGAGCAGGGCUUGGACAGGGCCCCAGGAUGGCCGGCGCCCGAGGCCUCGGACACAGCUUUUCUCCUAGAGCGGGUCUGCAUCUCGGCCCCCUCCUCUGACAAACCCCUGGUCAAGGACCUGACCCUGAAGAUCUGCGAGGGGCAGAGUCUGCUCAUCACGGGCAACACGGGCACCGGCAAGACCUCCUUGCUGCGGGUUCUGGGCAGCCUCUGGGCCAGCACCCGGGGCUCCGUGCAGAUGUUGACCGACUUUGGGCCCCAUGGGGUACUGUUCCUGCCACAAAAGCCAUUCUUCACUGACGGGACCCUCCGGGAGCAGGUGAUCUAUCCCCUGAAGGAGAUCUACCCGGACUCAGGUUCUACUGAUGAUGAAAGGAUCCUGAGGUUCUUGGAAUUGGCAGGCCUGUCCAGCUUGGUGGCAAGGACAGAGGGUCUGGACCAGCAGGUGGAUUGGAACUGUGUUCAUCUCGAGGUCCCUUCCCUAGGUACGAUGUCCUGUCCCCAGGGGAGAUGCAAAGGCUCUCUUUUGCUCGACUCUUCUACCUGCAGCCAAAGUAUGCAGUGCUUGAUGAAGCCACCAGCGCCCUGACGGAGGAGGUUGAGAGUGAGCUCUACCACAUCGGCCAGCAGCUAGGGAUGACGUUCAUCAGCGUGGGACAUCGGCCCAGCCUGGAGAAGUUUCACUCCUGGGUUCUGAAACUCUGUGGAGGAGGAAGAUGGGAGCUGACAAGAAUCAAAGUGGAGUGAAGUGAGGACGUGGAUGGAGCUGAACUCAGGACAGACCCUCUGUCCCCGGGGAGACCAGGAGCACUGAUGGGCAAGACCGACGCAGGGCCACUUCACAGGGCCUCUGCAGGAGCCCUGGCAGUGGCAGGCCCCCCAGGAGUGGCCCACAGGUGACACUGAGAUCUCCUCAGGGCUGCUCUUGGGCCUCCACCAGGGCCUCCACAUGCCAGAAGUGCCGAUUACUUACAAACUACUUCAGAUUGUAUUUGUUGAAGAAAAAUCCAGACAUGUGCAAGCUAUAGGAAAUGAAGGGUCAGGAUGGAAAGGAUACCGGACCUGGAGUCAAGAGAGCCAGUGAAAUUUUGCUACAAUAGAAUUUUUUUUUUUUUUUUUUGGUACCAGGGAUUGAACUCGGGUUCUUGCACUUGCACAGGAAACGGCGAAACCACUGAGUUAAAUCCCUGGCCCUACAAUAAAUUUUUAACUUUAAUUAACUGACCACUUAAUUUUAUAACUUUUUUAAAAAGAAAAACAUUUUUUAAAAGUUUUUGUAUCUUUUGCUCUUUCUCUGCCUUCUCUACCAUAGAACGAUCUUUUUAUUGAUGCUCAGACUUGGCUCUGAGAGGGAAGGGAGCCCUACUCAGCUGGCCCAGCACCUGCUGCCCAUGGCUUUCACCCCACGUUCCCCUCCACUGAAGCCACUAACCUUCAGGGCCCUCCUGGCUUUGUUUUCUUUUUUUUUUUUUUUUUUUGGUACCGGGGAUCCAACUCGGGUCCUUGUGCUUGCAAGGCAGGCAGUGGAACCACUGAGCUAAAUCCCCGGCCCUAGCUUUGUUUUCUUAACCCAGGUGAAAACAAAUCCCUUUAUCCUUACCAACUAAAAUAAGCUUGAAAUUUUUUUCAAAAAUAUCUAUAUUUAGGAACAACAAAACCAGGCUUAGUGGUGCAUGCCUGUAAUCCCAGCACUCGGGAGGCUGAGGCAGGAGGAUCACCAUGAGUUUGAGCCCAGGCUACAUAGUGAGCUCAGAGUCAGCCUGAACUACAUAGUGAGACCCUGUCUCAAAAAUAAAAACAACUAAACAGGCAAAACCCAGAAAGCACAAAAGCAUGAAGUAGAAAGUUACUGACCCAAAAGUUCCUUAUUCCAAAACAAUGUGUCCAAAGUUUAGUUGUCUACA